rnacentral:lncRNA from 1 species
CAUGAAGAUAUACAUUGAAAAUAUUAAACCAACUGUUGAAUAUUAGGCUAAUCAGUUUUAGCAUCCCUCAGUGAACAAAAUUAUUUCAGGUCAUCCAGGCCUUUGGAUUUAUUUAUUGUGAUACUGAUGAGAACUACAAACUUCAGAUGAAGAUUUACAACAACCAGAGGUUAUCACUUGCUGACUGUACUUGCUAACAAUCGGCAGAAGUAUUUCUUCACUAUUUUACAAAAUCACAUUAAUACCUGUAUGAUGGGGAGAAGUAACACCGUAUGAGGGUUUGCAAUACUGAAUGACCUUUAUGUGUUGCCAAUGACGUAUCACAUGGAUGACUCGAGUUUCUCAGAUGAUCUGGGUACUCCAUCCAUCUGUAGUCCCACGGGCAACGUAGAAGCUCCAGUGAGAUUGACAUUUUACCAUGCAGAAUUUUUGGGGUUAAGCACAGACAUUAGACAAUAUAAUGACCCAUAACACAUUAAUCUACCAGUACAACAAUUGCAAGAAUUAUAACAAUGGGUAUUCAACAGACAUUGGGGUCAAGUUCAAGGUAAUAAACUACUCAUUCAGCCAUAUAUGAAUUAUGGAGAGGGAGAGAGAGCAGUCAUGAAGCAUAUGAAUUUUCUCAAUGUUUCUCCAAUUGGAAAAGUCAAAACAUUUACCAGGGACAAACAUUAAUUUAGUGAAGUGAUAUUUUCCAAAUUAAAAAUAUGACAUAUUUUCAUGCCAAAAUUGACUAAACAGAAUUCACCCAAUUUUUUUUGCAAAUGACUGAAAUACAUUACCUAACGAAGGACAAGUUUCGUUAGGUAACGAAUUUCUAACGAAUUUUAUUUCCAAAUUUUGCAACUACUUAUGAAUUUCGUUGCAAAAAGUGAAAGCCGGACACAAUCCGCAACGAAGGACAAGUUUCGUUCCUAAACAUACACUUUUAGCAACGACUUAUAAAGUCGUUGCCUGAAAAAUCGUUGCUAAAGCCCCAUAUUUAGCAACAAAAAAACUUUCGUUGCCCACGAUGACGGGAAAGCAAGUGACCGAAAAUUUUUCAACGAAUUUCUAACGAAAUUUUUUCUCGCCAAUGAAUUAGCAACGAAAUUUUGCAACGACUUAUGAAUUUCGUUGCAAAAAGUGAAAGCCUGACACAAUCUGCAGCGAAGGACAAAUUUCAUUGCUAAACAUAUACUUUUAGCAACAACUUAUAAAGUCGUUGCCCGAAAAAUCGUUGCUAAAGGCCCAUUUUUUUGUAGUGUAUAAGCUGAUUUUCACUAAUAACCCAACUUAUUUUUUGACUUAUAAACUAACUUAUAAGUUUGAGGAGUAACUAUUUUUUAUUUCUCAAAAUAUGACUUAUGAGUUAUUUUAAAAUAAGUAAAUUUGACCUUUUAUCUUUAUUUUAAUAGUUUUUAUAUUUUAUUUUAAUUUAAUUUUUUACGUAUAAGUCAAAAUAGUGUCCAACAUUUUUAUUCAUUUUAAAUUUUUAAUAGGUUGACUAUAAUUUGAAAUUGAGGAUCACAAUAGUAAUUUUCACGAGUACAUAGUAAUAUUUUUUUAAAAAAAAUUAUGACAAAAAGGAAAUGACUAGGUGGAAGAACUAUCUACUAGAAGAACUAUCUACUGGAAAUAAUAAACUUACUAGGUGGAAGAACUAUCUACUGGAAGACAUGCAUAUAAAUGGUUAUGCUGAUUAUACAAUGACUACUUCAGACAUAUAAUGGUAUAUAGAAAUCUCAACAAGUAUGCCAUAAUCUAUAAAUAUCUUAAUACAUGGAGAGACAGUGAAACGACUAAAAACUCUUGGUUAUUAUGGACAGCUUAGUAUGAAACUACUAGAGGCAAUUUCAGUUAUUUUAGUUUCUGAAAGACAAUUCAGCUUCAAGUGGGUAAAUUGUCAAAAACUUUCGGGACAAUGAGCCCAAAAAGAUUGGUUAGUA